GAUGAAGAAACGUAGCGAAAUGCGAUACUUGGUGUGAAUUGCAGAAUCCCGUGAACCAUCGAGCCUUUGAACGCAAGUUGCGCCCGAAGCCAUUAGGCCGAGGGCACGCCUGCCUGGGCGUCACACGUCGUUGCCCCCCCAUCUACUCCUUCGGGAUUGCGGGGGGCGGAUGAUGGCCUCCCGUGCGCCUCGCCGCGCGGUUGGCAUAAAUGCCAAGUCCUCGGCGACGCACGCCACGACAAUCGGUGGUUGCGAAACCUCGGUUGCCCGUCGUGUGCGGUCGUCGCGCAUCGAGGGCUCGAAAAAAUUGCCGGGUUCCGGCUCGGCUUUCAACGCGACCCCAGGUCAGGCGGGGUUACCCGCUGAAUUUAAGCAUAUCAAUAAGCGGAGGA
rnacentral:misc_RNA from 1 species